GAUGAACGCUAGCGGGAGGCUUAAUACAUGCAAGUCGAGCGGUAAGGUUUUCGGACCCUAGAGCGGCGAACGGGUGAGUAACGCGUACGAAACCUGCCUUUAAGAGAGGGAUAGCCCUGGGAAAUUGGGAGUAAUACCUCAUAGUAUUCAUUAACCGCAUGGUUUAUGGAUUAAAGCUACGGCGCUUAAAGAUGGUCGUGCGUCUGAUUAGCUAGUUGGUAGGGUAACGGCCUACCAAGGCUACGAUCAGUAGGGGGCGUGAGAGCGUGGCCCCCCACACGGGUACUGAGACACGGACCCGACUCCUACGGGAGGCAGCAGUAAGGAAUAUUGGGCAAUGGACGGAAGUCUGACCCAGCCAUCCCGCGUGCAGGACGAAUGCCCUAUGGGUUGUAAACUGCUUUUGUUUGGGAAGAAAUGUAUUCUUUUAAGAGUAUUUGACGGUACCAGACGAAUAAGCACCGGCUAACUCCGUG
rnacentral:rRNA from 1 species